UACGGGGGGGGCUAGCGUUGUUCGGAAUUACUGGGCGUAAAGGGCGCGUAGGCGGCUAGGCAGGUCAGGUGUGAAAUCCCUUGGCUCAACCAAGGAAUUGCGCUUGAAACCGCUUGGCUAGAGUACAGGAGAGGAGGGCGGAAUUCCCGGUGUAGCGGUGAAAUGCGUAGAUAUCGGGAAGAACACCGGUGGCGAAGGCGGCUCUCUAGACUGUCACUGACGCUGAUGCGCGAAAGCGUGGGGAGCGAACGGG
rnacentral:rRNA from 1 species